GACGAACGCUGGCGGCGUGCCUAAUACAUGCAAGUCGAGCGCGGGAAGCUUGCGGAAUCCUUCGGGAGGAAGUGAGCGGACCGAGCGGCGGACGGGUGAGUAACACGUGGGCAACCUGCCCGUAAGACGGGGAUAACCCCGGGAAACCGGGGCUAAUACCGGAUAGGUGACCUUUCUGCAUGGAGGGGUCAUGAAAGGCGGCGGAAGCCGUCGCUUACGGAGGGGCCCGCGGCGCAUUAGCUAGUUGGUGAGGGAAGGGCUCACCAAGGCGACGAUGCGUAGCCGGCCUGAGAGGGUGAACGGCCACACUGGGACUGAGACACGGCCCAGACUCCUACGGGAGGCAGCAGUAGGGAAUCUUCCGCAAUGGACGGAAGUCUGACGGAGCAACGCCGCGUGAGUGAGGAAGGCCUUCGGGUCGUAAAGCUCUGUUGUUCGUGAAGAAGGGGUUGGCCAGGAAAUGGGCCGACAUGACGGUAGCAA
rnacentral:rRNA from 1 species